rnacentral:rRNA from 1 species
AGCAGCCGCGGUAAUUCCAGCUCCAAUAGCGUAUAUUAAAGUUGUUGCAGUUAAAAAGCUCGUAGUUGAAUUUCGGGAUCAAUAUAUCGGUCGUGCCUUGGUACGUACUGGUAUCAUUGGUUUCUCCUUUCUGACGAAUCAUGAUGUCAUUAAUUUGGUGUUAUGGGAAGUUAGGACUGUUACUUUGAAAAAAUUAGAGUGUUCAAAGCAGGCUUUAGCUUGAAUACAUUAGCAUGGAAUAAUGAAAUAGGACGUUCGAACCUAUUUUGUUGGUUUCUAGGAUCAACGUAAUGAUUAAUAGGGAUAGUUGGGGGCAUUAGUAUUCAAUUGUCAGAGGUGAAAUUCUUGGAUUUAUUGAAGACUAACUACUGCGAAAGCAUUUUGCCAAGGAUGUUUUCAUUAAUCAAGAACGAAAGUUAGGGGAUCGAAGACGAUCAGAUACCGUCGUAGUCUUAACCAUAAACUAUGCCGACUAGGGAUCGGAUGAUGUUAAUUUUUUCAAUGACUCAUUCGGCGCCUU